AUUGAACGCUGGCGGCAUGCCUUACACAUGCAAGUCGAACGGUAACAGGUCUUCGGAUGCUGACGAGUGGCGAACGGGUGAGUAAUACAUCGGAACGUGCCCGAUCGUGGGGGAUAACGAAGCGAAAGCUUUGCUAAUACCGCAUACGAUCUACGGAUGAAAGCGGGGGAUCUUCGGACCUCGCGCGGACGGAGCGGCCGAUGGCAGAUUAGGUAGUUGGUGGGAUAAAAGCUUACCAAGCCGACGAUCUGUAGCUGGUCUGAGAGGAUGAUCAGCCACACUGGGACUGAGACACGGCCCAGACUCCUACGGGAGGCAGCAGUGGGGAAUUUUGGACAAUGGGCGCAAGCCUGAUCCAGCCAUGCCGCGUGCAGGAUGAAGGCCUUCGGGUUGUAAACUGCUUUUGUACGGAACGAAAAGGUGCCUUCUAAUAAAGGGCGCUCAUGACGGUACCGUAAGAAUAAGCACCGGCUAACUACGUG
rnacentral:rRNA from 1 species